rnacentral:tRNA from 1 species
GAAGGUAGAGCUCGGUGGUAGAGUGUGUGCUUAGCAUGCAUGAGGUCCUGGGUUCAACCCCUAGUACCUCCA